CCGUCACAUCGAAUCUUGUGGCACAUGCAUAAAACAUUAAAUAUAGACAAAAACAAAAACUAAUUACACAGUUUAGCUGUAAAUCACGAGACGAAUCUUUUAAUCCUAGUUAGUCCAUGAUUGAAUAAUAUUUGUCACAAACAAACGAAAGUGUUACAGUAUCGAAAACUUUUCACUUUUCGGAAGUAAACAAGGCUCUAGCCUCAAAGCCGCACGCGUUCGCUUAAUCGGGCCACGGGUUGGCCGAUCGUGGAAACAAACAGGGCC
rnacentral:lncRNA from 1 species